CCUUACCAGGUCUUGACAUCCUUGACCACUCUAGAGAUAGAGCUUCCCCUUCGGGGGCAAAGUGACAGGUGGUGCAUGGUUGUCGUCAGCUCGUGUCGUGAGAUGUUGGGUUAAGUCCCGCAACGAGCGCAACCCUUAUUGUUAGUUGCCAUCAUUUAGUUGGGCACUCUAGCAAGACUGCCGGUGACAAACCGGAGGAAGGUGGGGAUGACGUCAAAUCAUCAUGCCCCUUAUGACCUGGGCUACACACGUGCUACAAUGGGAAGUACAACGAGUCGCAAAGUCGCGAGGCUAAGCUAAUCUCUUAAAGCUUCUCUCAGUUCGGAUUGUAGGCUGCAACUCGCCUACAUGAAGCCGGAAUCGCUAGUAAUCGCGGAUCAGCACGCCGCGGUGAAUACGUUCCCGGGCCUUGUACACACCGCCCAUCACGGCCACGAGAGUUUGUAACACCCGAAGU
rnacentral:rRNA from 1 species